rnacentral:lncRNA from 1 species
UCCUUCAUUUCUGAACUUCUGACAGGAUUCUGAUGGAACACAGCUGGGAGCUCCUCUCUGAUUGGUUCAUUUCUUCAUCAUCUGUUCUGUAGUUGGAAUCAAAUCACCUUCAAAUGUUUCCUUACAAGCAGAAGGUCACAUGAGCUCACCUUUCUCAGUCACUGAGAUCAACUAUCUGUCAAUCAGCUUGAAGCUCCGCCCCUCCUCUCAGCUGCUGUCAGGUUUCUCCUUGAACCUGAUCCUCUGUCUUUAGUUUCUCAGCUUCUUUCUAUCUGGAGAUUCUUCUCAGGUCUGCUCUCAGCAUCUUCAUCAGUGAUUCAGAGCUGCUCAGUCUGCAGCUCUCUGCUCGUUUCUGCAUCUCAGAGGAAGAAUUCAUGUCUUUCUUUCUUUUCUCCUCAUUCUUUGAUUUCUGUCUGUUUUUCUUGAUGCUUCAUGUUUCCUGAAGUGUAGAAACAGGAAGUUUGUUGUUUCUGUGUCAAAGUGACUGAAUGGAAAUGUUGCUGCUGCAGCUCCAUGUCUCCACCUGGUGGAGGGAGAGCAGAAGUGCAGCAGCUGAUGGCAGCUUCCUCUGAUGAUGAGGAGGGUUUCCUCUGCAGGUGAAGGUGUGUGUGAGCUGAUGUGGAUCCAGAGAAUCCAGCAGCAUGGGUCAGUGGGAGGAGCCACAGGAGGGAGCCCCUCCCUCUAAAAACAGAGAUGGUAACCAUGACAACCAGAGCAAAGCUCAGAGGUGAGAUGAAGAUCUCCAAAUGUCCAUGAUCUUCUCCAUGUCAGAGCUCAGGACUCACACCAGCAACCUUCAUUCUUCACAGGAACCAACCUGGACCUGGAUCUGGAUCUGAUUCUGCAUCCAGCAGUGUGUCCUACAGGAGUGACAAAUCAAAGGGUAGUAAUCCAGACUUCAAGGACAUCCAUUCAGGACUGGAACAAGGUCAACAGGUCACACAGAGAGUCCAGUCUGCAGCCUCCAGCUGUGGCUCCAUGAAGAGUGACCGGUCCAAAUGGAAUCCUCCACACUUCAGAACUGAGCCAGGACCUUCAGACUCACAGUAAGAAGCAGUUUCUAGUGAACAAAACACAGUCAACAAAGAGGGAUUACAAAAUAGGACCAUCAUUUGAAUA